rnacentral:lncRNA from 1 species
UUUUUAUUGAAACACAAACUUCAUUCUAGAUCCAAAUCGAUGUAAGACGUAUGGGAAAAAAUCAUACAGGCAAUGAUGAAAGGAGUGUAAACAAAAUGCGAGGGAUUUUAGAACUAGAAGGUGGAGAAAGAAGAUAGUUGCACAAGAGAUGACUUCAAACUUUCCAUUCUACUCUCUACUAAUUCUCAAUUCCAAUUGCACAAAAUCUUCUCUGGUUUCUUUU